AUUUGCAAGGAAAAUAAUCGCUACUGACUGCAUUUGAAUUCUAACUCAAAACAUUCUCAUCAGGGAGGGCUCUGAGGCUGUGUUAAGCAGCAGCUGGCCUCCUACUUGCUACAGUUAAGCGACUGACACAGGCUCUGCUUAUUUUGAGUCAAUUUAACUGUACUAUUAUUGCUUUGAGGCAUACUGGACUCUUAUCUUUGAAACUUAGCAUGUGAGGCGCUGCCUAUUCUUGCGACUUCCUUGCCUGCAGUGUGAAAUAGUGUUUCCUACUGACAUAAAAGCUUAGUUUCGCCUUGGCAGAGCGAAAGAUCUGUCCAACUGUGUAGAAUAUUCUUGUUGCUUUGACUGAAGGUAUGCAGUAGCAGAGGAGGAUCAUUUUGUGAAAAAAAUGGACCGUUCACAGUUGGAAAGAUUCUGAGUGAAGCAAGAACUAGCAGAACACAUCUAAAAGCUGUGCGGUUCCAGGUUUCUCAAACACGUCUACGUUUAUGACUGUCACCAAGUCAUGAGACAUGAGUCACCAAGUAUUCAGAUCUACUUAUUUGAAUAUAUUUUAACAAGGCCACAUAGAGAUCGUUGCUCUUUUGUGUAGAGGUAUGUUGAUUAUAUGUAACAAACGUCGACAAUGUAAAUUCAAACCAAAGAUUUGUUCACAAAUGCAAAACAUUCAAGUGCUUUGCAAAAAUUAGCAACUUGCUGAAUAAUUUGCGCUUCUCAGCUGUGAUGAGUAAAAUGAUCCAAAGCUGAGAGAACAUGAUCAAUCAAUAAGGAUCAGAAGAAGCAGAAAGGGUUAGCACUGAGUGAAAAGUACCUUUUGUAUUUAUGUAAACCAGAAGCAUCUUUAAACAAUAAGAAAAAGAUGCAGAGUUGGAAAUGUGAGAAAAGCAAGCAGUAACAGGUGGACGGAAAAGUGAAGGUGAUGACUGGAUGUGGUCUGUUUGAGAGGGGCUAGGGAAGGGUAAGUCCGAUUCUCAAAGAGGGGAAGACCGAUCAGAAGAGUUGAAAGUGAGAUUGAACUUCAUUCGAAACCAGAGACAUGCAAAGGGAGAAAAUACUGGAAAGUUUCGACGUGAAACAAUAACCCCAAUCAUAGAAAUACACCACUGAAAAUAUUUGCAACAUUUUUGAUGUUUAUUUUGAAUUUCUGCCAUCCAGAGUCAUUAUCUUUGUCAUCAUAAAUUAAGCCAGCUGGUUAGUUUAGGUUAAAGGCAGAAAGUGGUCAUCACAGGACAACUUUCACAUUAGAGAGAGGUGACUAGUGGCAGUUUAACCCAAGGGUCAUCACAUUUCAGGCAAGUGGAGAGGUUGAGAAGGAGAGUCCUUCAUUGUAAUCUUAGCCUGUGUAGGAAUUGAAUCCAUGUUGUUAGCAUCACAACCUUGCCAGCCUGCCAACUGAGCUAACCAACUGCCAGCUUUAGAUUAGACUAAUGAGACCACCAAUGAUGAAUAACUGACAAAUAUAGAAAGAACUGCGGAUGCUGUAAAUCAGGAACAAAAACAAAUUUGCUGGAAAUGCUCAGCAGGUCUGGCAGCAUCUGUGAAGAAAAAUAUCAGAGUUAACGUUUCGGGUCCAGUGACCCUUCCUCAGUUCUGAAGAACUGACAAAUAUAGUUGGUAACCAGCACUUGUUAGCAAGUUUACAAUAUUUUGUCUUUGCCAGACACAGUCAUUAAAUCAGAGAUGCAAACUUGCUUAACCUAAAAGAUUACAAACUGAUAGAUAAAAGAGUCAAGCUGUAUUUAUGUAGCAGUCUUGAUGGGAAUGGAUGUGGUCUGGGGUAUUUUGUUCAAAAAGGUUAAGCUUAAUUUUACAUGCCACGACGAUCCAAAAAUCAAAUGUUAACGUAAUCAUGGUAAAUUAGGUUAGUGAAAAGGUUCCAGCUCCUCAGGAUGAUCUGAUUACAAACCAUGGUUCAUUUUAUGCCUCAAGAAAUCUUUCACAAUUUCCCAAAUCCAAUUUGCCACGAGUUUUUGAAAGGAAUUGUCUCACCAUUUCUUACCAAACUCACCUCAUUAAACACUCACCAUGCCCCAUGGGAUUACCUCACUUCUGAUUAUACCUCAUCUUACUAAGCGCCAUCUACAACAACUUGCUACUUAGCAGAUAUCCCAGAAUUCAUCGACAUCCUUGCACACGUCAUCUUUAAAAGCCUGUCGUGCACCCAGACAAGCGCUGUCGGUCCAGAGUUGCCCUGCAUGGUUCCUGACAUUGGCCCUGGAUAUGGCAGACAGGCGGAAAUAUUCAUCUCCCGUUGAAUGGGUGGUGUCAACAUGGGACUUCCUCUUCACCCAGCACCAGCAGAGGACGCAAUGUCACCAGAGCAUGGCCAGCCUGGUCCAUGGUUGCCACUCAGGUUAAAGCAGUCAUAGCCAUCUGAAGGAUUGCCCAGCACUGUAGGAAGAAUGUCUUCAACAGUCCACCGGGAUAAGUUUUACCAUUUUCUCUCCCAUACCUUACACAACCACUGCUACUAAAUCCACCUCCCACCAAGGCUAUUGCUCUACCACCCUCACCACUGCCUGCAACAUCUUCCCCACUCGCUCUCACCUACACCAAACUCUAACCCUGCAUGCCCUGUGUGCUGCCUACUCACUCACUCGAAAUACCUUCCCAACCUGCAGUAACAACUGUGCCACCCAAUUUCAUCUCUGCAUUACCUGCCCCUCUCUCAUUCCACCAGGAGAACAGCCCACAAGAGGACUGAAAAAGUCAAGGCAGUCGAUAGGCCUCCAAACAUUCAGGUCCUCACCCCUUAGGAGGAUAGGGCCCUGACUCUGACCAGGACCUGGACUGGUAUUGGAGGCUGCCCUUCACUUGCUAUUCCAGAAGCCGGUGAGCGAAUAGCUAUCCCCUUUGACUUGACCGAGGCCUGCUGAUAACCAUGAAAAACUUUGUGCCUGCAUUAAAUAGACAAGAUAUGGGUCUGGUAUCUCAGCUGAGGGGGGACAAAGUGCCAAAAAGCAACGCAAAUUGGGGAUGCUGUGAGCAUCCAAGUAGAGUUGGAGUAAUUGAGCCAUGCCCAGAGAUGCACCCUGAUCCAGUCCAUAAGCUGGGUGUGUCCCUGAGCAUACAAGGUUCUCACUGCAGCAUUACAAUGAGAGUUUGCAGUACGGCCAAAGAUGCAGCAUCGAAAAGAAGAAGCAUCCUGUAAGUGGAUCGGAAUAGGAGUAGACUAUUCGGCCCUUCAAGCCUGUCCUGCCAUUCAGUAGGAUCACAGCUGAUGAAUACAAAAGUGGUUGCUGACCAUGACGCUCAGGAAAGACAACUUGCCUAAAAGGUUGAGAAUUUAGUACCAAAAUUUUGACUUGAAGUGGAGGUGCCAGUGUUGGACUGAGGUGGACAAGGUCAAAAGUCACACUACACCGGGUUAUAGUCCAACAGGUUUAUUUGAAAUCACGAGCUAUCGAAGCAUUGCCCCUUCUUCAGUUGAAGUGAAGAGAGCACCCAGGAACAGAGAUAACAAGGUGUAGAGCUGGAUGAACACAGCAGGCGAUGCAGCAUCAGAGGAGCAGGAAAGCUGACGUUUCAGGUCUGGAUCCUUCUUCAGAAAAUGAACAGGCUUUAUAACCAGAGAGAUCAAAAUUUCAUACAAAUGGUGGAGUGAAGUGUCAACAGCUGAAUAACAAGUGAGGGGUUGAUCUACAAUCCAAUUAGGUCAAAAAUCACACAACACCAGGUUAUAGUCCAACAGGUUUAUUUGAAAACACAAGUGUGUAUAGCCUGGUGUCGUAAUUUCUGACCUCGUCCACCC